AGGUAUAUUAUAUCUGGCGAUGCGGAUGGAAAACUGUUUAUUUGGGAUUGGAAAUCAACAAAGCUAUAUAGGUAUAGAUUCAUCCUUUAUUCUGAUGGUUUUCAGUAACAGAUGAUGGUCAGCUUGAGAAAUAUUGGCAUUUAUACAAGACUAUUAUAAAUAAUGAAAAGUCUUAAUGUCAGUUAGCCAUUUCCCAAAGUUCUGAGUCUAGUCGCGCAAACCCUAUGUUGGAGGGACAAGAAAUAUGGCAGCUGGUUUAAUGUAAAAAGGAGAACUGAUUUAAUUUUUGGUCGUCUAAAAAGUUGAUAUUUGAUCAUAGAUACUUCUACACUUUCGCAUAUUUGACGCUUGUCUCCAUAUAUUCUGUCACUCCAAACGAUCCCAGAAUACAUUGUGAUCUCUUUUGAGAAAAGGCUGAUUGCUGGUUGACCACCAUCUGCUGCACAAUAGUGCUUCGUGAAGCCAUUUAGGCACACAAAAUCAACUAAUUGUGUUUGUUUCUAUGCAGUAAAUUCAAAGCUCAUGACGCAGUGUGCAUCGGUUGCGCAUGGCACCCGCACGAAACGUCCAAAGUUGUCACGUGCGGCUGGGAUGGAUUGAUAAAGUACUGGGACUGAGUGACGUCAGAUCUAUUGCGUAAUACCUGAUCUACUUCCGAUGUGACUUCAUAAUAUCGCUGGAGUGAGAAGUAGCUAUUAUGUCAAUUUCGUACCUAGGGUCCUUUCUCUCUCGCACUCUGUGAGUACUGUGGUACGACAUUGGCGGUAUUUUUGUUGGAUAGAUAGCGAUGAUGGAUGGCUCUACUGUAGGUAUCAAUGGAUUGGAUAUAAAGCAUUAAAUGUACAUGUACUUACUACGGUGGCCGAUAAGGGCCACCCAGUGAACUCUAAGAGAACUGGAACGAUAACUUGGCCGCCAUCUUUGAAGCCACUCAUGAUGGCCGCCAUGUAGGUAUGGAGUGGAAAAUACGCCACCAAAAAGAUGUCUGUUUUCGACCACUAAAUAGCUGUAUUGCAAACAAGGAAAAAAGCUAAAAACUUUCAACAAUACCUGAAAUUUAAUACAAAACAUGUUUCCAGAACGUAGAGCAGUUAUAAAGUUCUUUUUUCAGGAGUCAAAAUGCGAAGUUUUUUUCAGCACGUUAAGCUGUUACCCAUGGAUUAUUUGCUGUUAGUGGAUAUAAAAUACUUAGAACUAUCCAGGAAACCCAAUUUGAAUCUUUAAGCCUGUUGAUAAAAAAGAAGAAGCCUGUUGAUAAAAAGUGCUUUUUCUUUCUUUUCUCAAAAACAAACUUUUGACUGAAUUUCCCGCUCCUCGAAACUCUCCCCAGUCUUUUUGAAAGUUAAUUUAUUGCUCGCGCAUGUGCUCGCGAGAAGCGCCAUCUUGACUUCAGGAAGGCUUCAGGCAAGUAUAGCUCAGUGGUAUAGCCAGUGAACACUGGGUAUAGCUCAGUGGUAUGGGCAUUAUGGGCAUGUUUACCUGCAGUUAGCGUUCCAGUGUUAUUACAGUUCACUGGACACUGGGGCCACUUCGGCUGCAUGGCAAUGCGACUGUGCUGCGUGGAAACGCGACUGUUGCGUGGAAAUUGACGAUGUCUGUACAAAUGACGGGCCCCGAUAUAAACACAAAGAUUUGCCAUGGAAGUUGUUUGUCAGAAGCUGACCUUCUGCAUGUCAGCAUAAACGUUUCUCUGAGAAAUCUCUCCACGCAACACAGUCGAAUUUCCAUGCAGCACGGAGGUGGCCAAUAUCGGCCACCGUAACCUACCAAUAGUACAUCAAUUAUCCCUGGUUAUCUGUGUGUAACCACAAUGCCCAGCUCAAAAGACCUACCAUUGUGUAUUAUCUAAAGAAGGAAGGAUGUAAUUUGCUGAGGCAUAAAAGACACAAUUUUUUUUACUGGGACAAUUUUACUUCAAAUCACAGUAUUUGUAAAUGCUUGUAUUGUAUAUAUAUUAAAUAAGAC